rnacentral:rRNA from 1 species
GUUUAAGCAGCCGCGGUAAUACGUAGGGUGCGAGCGUUAAUCGGAAUUACUGGGCGUAAAGCGUGCGCAGGCGGUUCUGAAAGUCAGCUGUGAAAGCCCCGGGCUUAACCUGGGAAUUGCGGUUGAAACUACAGGGCUAGAAUCUGGCAGAGGGGGGUGGAAUUCCACGUGUAGCAGUGAAAUGCGUAGAGAUGUGGAGGAACACCGAUGGCGAAGGCAGCCCCCUGGGCUGAGAUUGACGCUCAGGCACGAAAGCGUGGGGAGCAAACAGGAUUAGAUACCCGGGUAGUCC